CAUCUUGGGUCCGUUACUAAUCCACACACGGCCUGCCUCGGCACCCGUGACAGUCAGAUUGUGAAAUAUAGCAUGACAGCAUGUCUUCUAUCCUGCCUUCCUUAUCUCACCCCAACCGUCACAGCAGAUGGCCGCCCCUCCCUGAGCCUGGUUCUGCCGGAGGUUUGUUCUUGUUAAAAGAGGAAGGUGGGACGAGAAGGAGCAGUGAGCACGGGGAGUGCAGGGACACUGGAGCAGAGAGCACUACACUGGGACUCUUCUGGGAAGAAGACACAACACGGGAGUCUGGGAAACUGGGGAAUUUAUUGUUGCUUACGUCACCA
ensembl:lncRNA